rnacentral:sRNA from 1 species
CGACCGUCGAACACGUGACAGAAUGCUGCCGCGGAGGCGCUUGCCGCCUCCUCGGCCCCACCGGCCUCCUCCCUCUCGCCCUUCCGGGCGCGUUGGUUGCUGGUCGGAAUACGGCGCGGGAUGACGCCAAGGAACACGGUAAAGCUGAGGCGCCGGCGAGCCGCUCAGGGUCUCCGUCGGUUGCCAAGGCCAACAGAAAAAAUAUGACUCUCGGCAACGGAUAUCUCGGCUCUCGCAUCGAUGAAGAACGUAGCGAAAUGCGAUACGUGGUGUGAAUUGCAGAAUCCCGUGAACCAUCGAGUCUUUGAACGCAAGUUGCGCCCGAGGGACCCUCCCGAGGGCACGCCUGCCUCAUGGGCGUUAGAAGCCCAUCCACGCUCGGUUGCCCAACUAACGGCAGAGAUGCGGACAUUGGCCCUCCGAACCGCGAGGUGCGGUGGGCCUAAGUGUGCGGCCGUCGUACGUGGCCGGGAGCGGCGAGUUGUGGGCUGCUGCGCACGUCGCCCCGAGCCCCGUACCGACGCAGGGCCUUGUACGACCCCCUAACGAGGAGCGAGCCGCUGCGCGGCGCCUUCGGACCGAUACCCCAGGUC